CAAUCAUGGCCCCAUACUCGGCCUUAUUGUUAGUUAACUUCGAAGUUUUGAUAGAUUGUCUAAUUAUGUUACCAGUGGGAAGCUUCAAAAUGAUGCACAACCCGGACCCUUUCUGUCACGACCCAAAUUUCCCGCCAUCGAGAGUCGUGAUAGCACCUACUGCCGGAGCUAGGCAAGCAAAAAAUUUAAAACAUUUCUCUAAUGACAUUUUAAAAAUAUAAAUGAACAAAAGCAAAUAAAUAAAGCUGAAGCAUGUAAGCUUGAAUAACUGAUAACUAAAUGCGGAAGUUUGAAACAUAUUUUUUACCGAGAGUCUGGUGUCACUAGCUCACGGACUGCUAUAGAGUAAUAAAAACAAGUCUGGAAUGAAAUUACAUAAAUGUUUGUCUCGAUACGAGAAAACAAACUAAAUACAUACAAGGGACUUCGGCUUGAGAAAACAAACUAAAUACAUACGAGGUACCUCGUAAAUCCCUGGGCUGAAGACAAUAUUUGCUUGAUAAUGUUGUUGCGGUCCAAAAGAUGCUCCCUGAUCUGUGCAAAAAGAUGCACAGAGUGUAGCAUCAGCACAACCGACCUCAUGUGCUGGUAAGUUCCUGGCUUAACCCUGGUGAAGUAUGGACAAGUCUAGACAGGACCUACUAAAAACAACAUGUGAAGAUAUAUAUAUGCAAUAGCAGGAAAUAUACAAAAUUUAUAACAGCUAAGAGAGCGGGGAACAUGCUAUGGGGAUGUAACAAUUCAGAUUUAGAAUUAACGAUUGAAGAAAUGAAGCUGGACGAUAAUAUCACUUAAGGAGCAUUGAUAAAUCAACAAGUGCACGUCACCAACCUUCGUGCUUUUACUCCCAUUUUCACCAAAACAGUCAAAUAAAGUGCACGACAUUACCCUUCGUGUUUUUCCUCUCAUAACUCUCAUAUCAAGGCACAGAAUGACCCUUCGUGCUUAAUUAUUCAAAACAUGGCACGGAAUGACCCUUCGUACAUAAAUAUCAUAAAUAUGGCACAGAAUGAUCCUUCGUGCAUAAAACAAAAUGUAGCACAUAAUGACCCUUCAUGCAUAAAUCACUCUUCCUUACCAAAUCAACAGUCACAACCAAUCGGGGUGAGUGGAUACACAACAAUAUUAAACAUCCCCGCAAAGGCGAAUACAUAUAAUACUGAAAUCCCGACGGGGGAGCAAUAAUUGUAAUAAACAACACGUCCCGACAAGGGAAUAAUUUCAACAUUUCCUCUUUUGUUCAAUUCUUCCUCAGUUAUCAUAUUCGCAUUCGAGCCAACGCUCCAAAAAUAUAUAAUUCGUAAUUCCUCCUCAAACCUUUCACAUUAUAUGAAAUUUAUCAAUUUAACAAGGAAGAAGUAUUACAAAAAUCCAGAUAUACACAAUUAAGACCCACAGUGAUGCUAUACUCUGGUGCAUAGAUACUCCUUACCAUGCCUAUACACCAUACUCCAAUUUAGCAAUUAGCAAUUUAUAUUCUAAUCCCAUUCCCUCAAGCCAAAGUUAGAUCCAACACUUACCUCGAAGGCUAAGGCCAACUCAAUCUUUAAGCACCGCUUUUCCUUUUAAAUUUGGCUCCAAUUUAAUCGUAUCUAGAAGCAGAAGCUAAAACAAAUGUAAAACUUUGAUUCAAAGUGGACAACAAUCUCAACGAGCAUCAGCAACCAACAACAAGUCAAGAUCCAAAGCGAACCAGAAAAUUAACCUAGAAUAAAACUCACAAAGCUCAAGAGAGAGAAAAGCGGAACCAAUUCAAGAACUUUUGUAUUUUAUGGGAGCAUUUUGUUCUCAAAGAACUUUUUAGUGGUUUGAUAUAUAGGAAAAAAUUUCCUAGCUACUCCAUUUUCUCCUCCUUAGAGGGCUCUUUUUCACUUUUCAACGUUCUUUCCUCCUUCCUUUUUUGACUUUUUUUUUUUCAUUUUGUUGUUUUUCUCCUCCCUUUUUGACUUUUUGUCGUGUGUGUACUGGUGGUGUAAAAUGAGCAUCCGAGGUAACUUCAUGGAAGAUGCCUACAUGGGUACCGGAUGAAUCCGAGGCAACUAUUGUAUACCUUCUUUCUUUCGCAGAUACAAAUAAAACUUUACAAAUUAUCCAAAAGGUUAUGACCAUUGCACUAGAGGCUGUCGGAGUAGAGUUGGAAUAUAAUUUUUUGGAAUUUUGUUCUUCGCGAAUGCAAAGAACAAAUCUUUAGGCAGUAGAAUAAAGUCAAAACUUUGUCUCAUUUUCCAUUUUUGAUGAUUUGGAGCUUAGGUGAGGCAAUUUUUUGAGAGAAUUUCAAGGAAAACAUCAGGGUAAGUGUUCUUAUCUCAAUUUUGGUUAGAUUACUCGAAUCCAUCAUCGUUUUUAACAUUUAAUUGGUGAUUUAAGUUGGUAAAAUCUUGAAAAUCCUCUUGGUUUAAUUUGAAGAUUUGAGGGUUGAGUUGAUAUCGAAUUUUAGUACAAUUGAUUUGGUUGGACUCGUGGUUGGAUGAGGUUUCAUACUCCAUAAUUUUUGUCGAGUUCCGAGACGUGGGCCCCACGGGUGAUUUUUUAGUGCAAUUUCGAAUUUUAAAUGGAUAAUAUAGAAUUUUAUAAGGAAUAAACUCCUAUAAUUUUUAUUGACUGAAUCGAAUUGUCUAUGACUAGAAUUGAGAAUUCCGGGCACGAAUUUUCGAGGCAAAGGCUUAUUGGAAUUUUGAAUUGGUUGCAAAGCGAGGUAAGUGUUUGAUAUACCCUAGCUUGAGGGAAUAAGAGUUGAGUAUAUUUGCUACUUGUUAUGUGUUGUGUCCGACGUAUAUGUAUGGUGACGAGUAUCUAUACGUUGGGGGUCGAGCAUGACCUUGAGUCCUAAAUUGCUAAAUUGUUGUAUUCUUAUGAGAACUUGGUUGAAGAUAUUUGAUGCUGAGCAAGUAAUUGUUAUGACUGAGUAAUUGUAUCAAUUGUGUUAAGUAUAAAUUUUAUAAGUUUGGUUAUUUGGUUCUUCUUUGCCGGUAAUAUAUUAUUUGAUUAUUUGUUAUUGGUUUCUUUGCCGGUAAUAUAUUGUUUGAUUAUUUGUUAUUGGUUNNNNNNNNNNNNNNNNNNNNNNNNNNNNNNNNNNNNNNNNNNNNNNNNNNNNNNNNNGUAAUUUAUUGUUUGAUUAUUUGUUAUUGGUUUCUUUGGCGGUAAUAUAUUGUUUCAUUAUUUGUUAUUGAUUUUCUUUUUCGGUAAUAUAUUAUUUGAUUAUAUUGACUUCUUUGCCGGUAAUAUAUUGUUUGAUUAUAUGUUAUUGAUUUUCCUUGCCGGUAAUAUGUUAUUUGAUUAUUUGUUAUUGGUUUCUUUGCCAGCAAUAUAUUGUACACUGGGUUAAAAAUAAAAUGGGAGCGGGUGCUAUGCCUGGGAGCGAGUGGUACGCCUACCACAAGAUAUAAAGAAAUGAGAGCGGGUGGUACGCUUACCACGAGAUACAUGAAAUGGGAGCGGGUGAUACGCCUGCCACGAGAUACAGGAAAUGGGAUCAGAUUGCACGCAUGCAAUAAGAUAUUAAAAGAAAGUGAAAUAUACCUUUGUUUUCCUUAUUCUUGUUGGUGGUUCGACUUUAAUUUUCUUAUAAUUCUCUUGAUAUUUUAUUUUUAUUUAUAUUUUUUAUAUAUAUGAUCAAUACUCCAAAUUUCAAUAAUUGUUACAUUUUUAAUUUAAUUGAUUUCUCAAUUAAAUUUUUCUUAAACCGUUGAGGUUGUACUUUACUUAAAAAGGAAUUUCUACUAUGUUCCAAUUAUUUAUUUCUCAUAUUAAAUAUAAUGAUUCAUUCGAUAUUGUACUUCAGUUGAAAAGGGUAUUUUCUAAAUCAAAUGACUUCUAAAAAUAACAUCAUCUUUUUUGUUGAUUUCCAUUUGGGUUGAGAAAUGUACUCUACUUUAUGUCAAGUGAAUGAGUCUUCUUGAACAUUCUUCAUUGUAUUAGGUUAUGGAGCCUGUGAACUGAAUAAUAAGAGGAUAUUUUUGUGCAAUAUGAGACAUAAAUUUGUGAGCACGAGGUGCCAUGAUAAUAUAAUAGUGGGUUGAGUCCUAUAUUAAUUAUGAUUAUAAAAUGAGGCAUCACACGGUGACCUUUACCCAAAAGAUUUAUAUUUGAAGGACUCGAUUAAUAUAUCAUUGAUUGAUCAUUGUUGCCAUUACUGUUAUUUGCUUCCUAUUAUUUUGUACGCUAUAAACUGCACAUGUUUAUGUGAGUGUCUGGUCCUAGCCUCGUCACUACUUCGCCGGGGGUAAGCCAGACACUCACCAGCACAUGGGGUCGGUUGUGAUGAUACUAUACUUCUGUACAUUUUGUGUACAGAUCUAGGUAUUUGCUCGGUAGUAGUUGUUCGUUGCGGUGGAGACUCAAGGUAAACCUGUAGUAGCAUUCGCGAUCCUCGUAGUCACCGUCAAUUGUACUUAUUUCCAUAUGUUCCUUUUGUUCGGAAUAGUGAUUUAUUUAUUUUGUAUAACUACUCUUAUAAAAGCUUAUGACUUGUACUGCCGGUUUUGCGAAUUGUAAAUCGUUUAGAGAAAUUUCAUUUGAAGUUAAUAAGUAUCAAUCUUAUUUCGGUUAAUUUUAGGCUUACCUAGUUUAGAGAGUAGGUGCCAUCACGACUCAUCCAGAGAGAUUUUGGGUCAUGACAUGGAGCUGGAACCUCCUCAUCAUGGUCAACAUGAGGCUCCACCUCUGGGAUUGCUGCUCGAGGCUGAGCUCUGCCCCGACCUCGGCCUUUGGGAAGGCCUCGCCCUCUGCCCCUGAUUGGAGCUGUUGCUGGGGGCUCUGGAUGCUGUACGGUAGAAGAGGAAGCACUUGUUCUCGCCAUCUCUGAAAGAACAAAGUAUAAAGGCAAUCAGUACUUGAGGAAUAGAAUCGCACGACAAGAAUGAAAAAACUGAAAUUUUUCCUAACUCUAUAGCCUAUGGGGGAUAAAUACAAACGUCUCUGUACCAAUCCCUCAAACUCUACCGAGUUUUUCCGUGAGUCGUGAGACCUAUGUACUAUAAGGCUCUGAUACCAAUUUGUCACGACCGAAUUUCCCACCAAUGGGAGUCGUGAUGACGCCUACUGUCGGAGCUUGGCAAGCCAAACAUUUUAAAUAUUUCUCUAAUGACAUUUUAACAAUAUAAAUAAACAAAAACAAAUAAAUAAAGCGGAAUCAUGUAAGCUUAAAUAACUGAAAACCAAAUGCGGAAGUUUAAAAUAUAUUUCUACCCAGAGUCUGGUGUCACUAGCUCACGGACUGCUAUAGAGUACUAAAUACAAGUCUGGAAUGAAAUUACACAAAUGUUUGUCUUGAUACGAGAAAACAAACUAAAUACAUAGAAGGGACUUUGACCUGCGAACGCCCGCUAGGGUACCUCGUAAAUCCCUUGAGUGAAGACAGUUUUUGCUCAAUAAUGCUGUUGCGGUCCAAAAGCUGUUCCCUGAUCUGUGCAAAAAGAUGUAGAGUGUAGUAUCAGCACAACCGACCACAUGUGCUGGUAUGUGCCUGGCCUAACCCCAGCGAAGUAGUGAUAAGGAAAGACAGGACCUACCAAAAACAACAUGUACAUAUAUAUAUAUAUAUAUAUAUAUAUAUAUAUAUAUAUAUAUAUAUGCAAUAGCAGGAAAUAUGCAGAAUUUAAAACAGCUAAGAGGGCGGGAAGCAUGCUAUAAGGAUGUAACAAUUAAGAUUUAGAAUUAACGAAUAAAGAAAUGAAACUGGACAAUAAUAUCACUUAAGGAGAAUUGAUAAAUCAACAAAUGCACGGCACCAACCUUCAUGUUUUUACUCUCAUUCUCACCAAAACGGUCAAAUAAAGUGCACGAUAUUACCCUUCGUGUUUUUCCUCUCAUAACUCUCAUAUUAAGGCACAUAAUGACCUUUCGUUCUCAAUUAUUCAAAACAUGGAACGGAAUGAACCUUCAUGCAUAAAUAUCAUAAACAUGAGACGGAAUGACCCUUUGUGCAUAAAUCACUCUUCCUCACCAAAUUAAUAGUCACAACCAAUCGGGAUGAGGGGAUAAACAACAAUAUUAAACAUCAUGGAAAGGGAGAAUACAUAUAAUAUUGAAUUUACGGCAGGGGAGCAAUAACAAUAAUAAACAACACGUCUCGGCAAGGGAAUAAUUUCAACACUUCCUCUUUUGCUCAAUUCUUCCUCAAUUAUCAUAUUCGCAUUCAAGCCAACACUCCAAAAAUAUAUAAUUCAUAAUUCUUCCUCAAACCUUUCACAUUAUAUGAAAUUUAUCAAUUUAACAAGGAAGAAGUAUUACAAAAAUCCAGAUAUACACAAUUAAGACCCA
rnacentral:lncRNA from 1 species